rnacentral:miRNA from 1 species
CCAGCUAGUUUAGCUCCCAGGCCAGUCAAGGUAGAGGCAGCUCAAAGUGUAGUCAUCUCUUGAUCGUUGAUUGCUCCAGUCCUAUCCCAUGCUCCUCCUUGAGCUCCCAAUCAUUGAGCUCUCGGAUCCUCUCUGCUCUUCUCUGAUCUGGUGUCGUUCCAGUUUCCAAACAUGUUGCAGAAUGAUGAACACUGAACAACAAGAUUAUAAGGUAGGUAAGUAGUUGAUCAUUUCAGGUUUCCAGAGAUGAUAAAGCAAUCAGGGAUGCAUGCACACUGAUGCUGAUUGUACAAACUCCAA